UGGAAGACAUCCAUAAAGCGCAUUGUAACAAAAUCAAAUCCUCCAAGAAUUAGCCAUGAAAACCUCAUUAAAACUUGAGUUUCUCAAGGAUCAGUAGAAGAUGUUUCAUUUUCUAGAAGUGACAUCUCACCUGCGCACUGUAACUUGUGGGAUGAUUUUAAUUGGCUUUUACAUUUGCAAGUGGAGAGCAUUUUAUGGGUAUUGUUCUUUUUGUGUGUAUGGUGCUGUUCACUGGAUCUGUAUUUGCUCUUGGUGGAAUUGUCUCAGCAAAGCCUUUAGAUGAUUGGUUGGGCAAAGGGUUGACUGGUGAGCAGAAAGUCUUUAGCUCUCCGUGUGCAUCAUCUGUUUAUAUUGGCUAGGCUAUGGCUUCCGUAGUUGCUUUGGUGGUCACCGGUGUACUGCCAAUUGUCUUGUGGUUUGCAACAUACAGAUUUUCCUUGUCUUCUGUAGUGUGUGUUGGAAUAUUCACAGAUAUUAGGAAAAGCCUUGGGUGGUGGAGUGAUCCCUGUAAGUGCAGUUCUUGCAGACAAAGAUGUGAUGCUCUGUAUCCGACCUGGAGAGCAUGGAAGGUUUGCA